AAUUUAUCCAAAAGAUGGCCUCUUUCUGAGGCAUCCAUUCUCCUCCAAACAGAACCGAGGGAAAAAGCCAGCCGAGCUGCCCUCACUGCCUUGUCUGUAUCAACCUGGGAAGAAGGAAGAAGAAAAUUGAAGACGCAAGGUCUGUGCAAGCCAUUCUGGUACAGGACUGCUGCAACAGUGUGUCACAACUGAAGCAACUGGAAAAAACAAAAAGUUCCUUGAUUUGGAAGGUGGGAAAGUGGAUCCAGGAUAAAAGUCCUGCCCAAGACAAAACUCCAAGCUGAAGACUCCAAUUAUCUAUAAAUCACUUGAAUUUCCUGCAGAGAAAGAGAAAAAGGAGGAAAGAGCAAGGCAGACAGAAAAACAGAGACAGAGGAUAUGCCAAGUGAAACAUCUGAUACCUGUCCUAAACCAAAAUUUUCUCAAAAGCAACCAGGAGUUACCUGAUAUCCAAGCUUAGAAGAAACACAUUGCUGUUGUUUUUGGCUUAAUAUUGAAAUUAAAUAGCUUUCUUUUAAUUGUUCCAUUAGUAUAAAAUGUGUAACAUUUUAGAUCUGAGAUGACGGAAUUAUGUAUUGAUUUAUUAAAGGUCACUGUACAUUCUCACAGACAGAAA